rnacentral:misc_RNA from 1 species
CGCUUCCCCCUAAACAUGCGCAUUUCGUCUGUCGCUUGCUUGUUACAGAUUACAGACAACAAAUAUAGCGUCGUUGCCAUACAAUGUUAGAAUUGCAAUCGCUGAAUUCUAAACUGGGUGUCGAUCUCAUGUAAGAAGUUUGUAAAGUACACGGAAGUUUUGAAAGUUUAGUAUCAAUCGCUUUGGAUAAUUGUGCGGUAUUAGUGAGUUUCCAGUUUAGAACGACAAAGGAGCCACUGAAGCUACAGUCAUUUUAUAACGGGACGUUUAGCUAACGCAUGCUCGAUGCUCUAGUCGAAUGAUAAUUUUGUAGCGGCGUCGAGUGAGAAAUAAUAUUGGAUGUGUUGUGUCUAAUUUUUGGAGUCAAUCAGAGUUGUUUUACAGUGUUCGACAAAUGCUCUCAAUUAUGAUUUUACGUGUGGAGUCACCUUAAGUGCAAUCCAGUGAAUAAAAGCAAUGAACCGACGCAUUUAUCAUGUAGGACCGGAGUGUGUAAAUAAAAUUCCGUAAUCAAAUAAUACUGCAUGUAGGUUACGUUCGCUCAAAUACAUUUAUUUGUUAUUUUUAAAAUGUAUGCUAAAGGAAAAGGAUCAUCAGUGCCGUCCGAUGCACAAGCCAGAGAAAAGUUGGCUUUGUACGUUUAUGAAUAUUUGCUGCAUGUUGGAGCACAGAAAGCAGCACAGACAUUUUUAUCGGAGAUUCGAUGGGAAAAGAACAUAACGUUAGGAGAACCUCCAGGAUUUUUACACUCUUGGUGGUGUGUGUUUUGGGAUUUGUAUUGUGCAGCUCCUGAAAGAAGGGAGACUUGCGAACAUUCCUCGGAAGCCAAAGCUUUCCACGAUUACGGUUUUGUAAACUCGGGGUAUGGAGUUAAUGGAAUUUCCCACAAUGCGGGUCCAGCACCAAGUCCACUGGGACAAAUGCCUGCCGACGGAAUGCCAGGGGGCCCAAUUCCUCCAGGAUUUUUCCCUAAUUCGACAUUACGGCCUUCACCUCCCACGCACCCUUCAAGCCAGCCAUCGCCUCAUUCACAACCCCCACCGCACACUAGUAUUAUGACAACACAGCCUUUUAUGAAUCCCAGGUAUCCUGCCGGCCCGCGACCUGGUGUUAGAAUGCCACAAAUCGGAAGCGAUUUCAAUGGACCUCCAGGGCAGCCGUUGAUGCCGAAUAAUAUGGACCCAACUAGACAAGGUGAUGGCGGAGAUUUUGUAGGUUGGCAAGGACCACCAGCCACUCUAAAUCGAAUGAACCCUCCACGGGGGCCCUCAAUGGGACCUCUUGGUCCUGGAACGUACGGCACCGGUUUAAGAGGCCCACCCCCUAACAGUAGUCUCGGACCCGGAGGCCCUAUGCCUCCUAUGACAAUGGGAGGACCUGGAGGACGACCGCAAUGGCAACCUAAUACGUCAACGCCCAUGAAUUACUCUUCAUCAUCACCUGGCAACUAUGGUGGGCCACCUGGAUCCGCGGGACCAGCCGGUCCAGGAACGCCAAUUAUGCCAAGUCCACAAGAUUCAAGUAAUUCGGGAGGCGAAAACAUGUACACAUUAAUGAAACCGGCCGUGGGUGGAAAUAUGCCUGGAGAUUUUCAGAUGGGUGGUGGGCCAGAUGCGGGCGGUCCAAUGGGUCCAAUGGGACCCAAUUCAAUGGGCCCCGUAAUGAAUGGGGAUGGAAUGGAUGGUAUGAAAAAUUCACCUGCAAAUGGUGGUCCCGGGACGCCGAGGGAAGAUAGCGGAAGUGGAAUGGGAGAUUAUAAUCUUGGAGGAUUUGGUGGACCAGGAGAAAAUGACCAAACGGAAUCGGCUGCUAUUUUGAAAAUAAAAGAGAGCAUGCAAGAAGAGGCCAAGAGGUUUGAGAAAGACUCGGAUCAUCCUGAGUAUUUCAUGCAAUAACUCACCUCGGCUGGCCCUCAAUAGGCUGGUGGACUAUGCCUCUUCCUUGACCUAACCUACUAACACGGGCGGUGAUAUUCCUGUGAUUCCAGACCAGGGAGCACAGGGCACAUCGCACAUGUCAAGUUCCUUCAUCCUGAAUAUUUCUCACAUUUUUGUCCACCAGCCUAGGCGGGCUGGACCACUGAAGUAUGUUGUAAUCACGACAACUGAGCUCUUACUCCUUACUACAUUCAUAAUAGACCACUCAUAGAGAUGUUAAAUUCUUUUUUACUUGUCAAAGUGAAUUUGGAAUGACGGAAAAUGCUUUCUUCUUUCUGCUGCAUUAAUCGUAGCGCAUUUAAGGCACAUCAUUUAAUCCAUCGGACUCGUUUUAUCGCAAAUUAGAUGCUAUUACUUAUAUUAAUUCCUCAUCUUCUGAUUCAACGACUUUCCGGUUUCAGUGAGUUUUUAUUUAAUAUCUAAUUUUCUCAGUAAUCUUGAGAAGGAUGUAAGAAAGCAUUGUCCUGUUGUCGGAACUUUUAAGGAAGAUGUCGGGAUACUUCUUACUUAAUUUUCUAUUAGUUUCAAGGUAUAUGUUUGAACAAUAUGUGGAUUUAUUUUGAUAAGUGUUGCACCAUAUAUUGGCAUCAUAUCCAUGAAACUAUAAUGUAAUUAUUUGAUUGACCUAAAGUUUUCAAUGGGAAUUUCUCGCUGUAUCCAGGGCAAAUUAUCGAAUUUGCCACAUUUUUCGGAACGUAAUUCGAUGCAAAGCAAACAUCAAACAGUUUUAUAUUAUAUGAUAUUAAAUAUGGAAAGCAAUGAGCAGUUCAAUAUUUUAACUAGAUACUUAUUUCAAACAGAAACGGUGAACAUAAAAAUCCCACUGAAAACUACUCGUCUAGAUGUAACUGUCACAAAGAUUUUUUAAAUAUUGCCUCAAAGCUUUUCAAUGAGAUAUGAAAAACACUUAUUAACGUUUGUUUCUCAAUACUAAAUUAAAAAAGCCAUUCUUGAAAUUUGUUUGCGUUUUAGUUUUGUAAUUUGGCAUAAAUUACAGUCCGUCAGUUUCAUCAGAAACUUUUUCAAAUCUCGUUGAUGUUGUUAGUUCAAUUUUUUACAUCUUUUAAUUGUUUCUUUAAUUGUUUUGCAUUCAAAACAAUGACGAUUGAAAUGUUAUGUGCUCCGAUUGUCUCGCAAUCUUUCAACUAUUUCCAAUAUGUUUUGAAUAUUUAAUAGGAACAUUCGGCAAAAAACAAGUUUCAUUGCCGUAUGAAGCCAGGUUUUUCUCCUUUUUAUGCGGCAUCUUAAAAUUCUAGUAUUAGUUGAAUUUUAUCAGCGGCGUUGUAACUGAUUAGCACAAUUAUUUUGUAUGUAUUUUAUUUUAUGAUUAUAUUGGUUCCGUAUUUUUGUCUAGACCACUUUGGUGUACCACGAGCUCUGUAUUUUCUAUUUUCACUUACACUAAACAAUUUUUUCUCAUUGAGAUGAUACCUAUUUCUAUUAUGUAAUAAUUAAACAUUGUAUUGACGUUAUUACAUCACAAAUAAAUUAGUUUUUCGAAAUAGGUAUCUUAUAUAAAAUGUAAUUAUUUUGUUUCUAGAUGAUAUGAUAGAACGUUUUGUACAGAUUUAUUAGCAGAUAGGUAUCACAUUUUUUGGAAAUUUGACAUCUCUACAAAAAAUGAGUUUUCAAUUGCGAAACGUUUCUAUAAGAAACUUGUUAUGAUAUGUAAGUAUUUAGGAAAUUCUCUGAAGAUACCCGUGUAUAUGAUUGUAGUUUCUAUAAAGCAUGUUUUAAGUCAUUUUAAUUACUUGCCAGACGAAUCCGAAGGGUCUAUCAAUAUACAAGAGUCUAUCAAAUGAACAUGAAUAGUUGAGUGGUAAUAGGUUGUGGUUUCCAAUAUUGCAAUUAUGUUCUCUCCCGAAUCCAGAUAGAUAUUUUAUAAACUUUUAUACAAAAAUUAUCUUUCAUUCUUGUAAAAUCCAUCCAGCGUCUCAUGCAUUUUGUCACUCCUUUGCUUAAAAAAAAAUCCUUUUUGGAGAUUAAGAACAUAUCAAAAAGAGUUAUGUCAGUAUUGUUUUGGAUCGAUUUUAGAACUGUCGGGACAUAUGCACUGCUUUUUAAAGGUUUAUUUUCACAUAACGCUUAUAAUUCGACAUUGGUAAAAUAUUCAAUAUUUUUAUUCCUGUCAUUUUACUAAGGAAUUAAUUUUUUUUUUAUCGAAUCUUGCUAGUAAUAAUUUGAAAAUGAUCUGUAAUUUUCCUGUAAAACGAAUCUUCCGGGCUAUGAUUUAAUUUAAAUAUAAGUAUCGAUCAGUAUUAUAAUUUAGCGUGUUUCAUUUAGCAUUAAUUAAGUCUAAUUAUUUAUACUGUGUAAAAUGUGAUGGUAAACAAAUCACUUUAUUAAUAUCUAGUAAAGUGUAGGAUAGUGGGUAACAAGUUAUAGCCUUGUUUCAUUUGAUUAUAUUCAACAAUUUUGCGGCUUUAAUACAGACUGAGAGAGACAUGAGAACAUACUCAAGACGGUAAAUAACUAAAUAUUAAUAGAAAACGUAUUUCUGACCAACUAUUAAAUACGGCGCCUAUUUUUAAAUUUAUAUGCAUUGGACGUUUUUGUUUUGGCGUUAAGUUAAUUUCUUUGUCUUAAUAUAUUUUUAUGUUUGAACAUAAGAUUAAAUAAAUGUUCAAGUAACAAGUUUUCGAAUAAAAGGAAAAUCUGUGUCCAGCGUAUCGUUAGGGAAAUAGUUUGGAACGAACGCUUUAGCAACUGUUACAUUAGGUAAAUAACAGUCUGUUUUUAUUAACAAACAAUUUAAAAUGACUUCAUUAUCAUUUAUGUUUGGAAUUUGAUCGCAUCGAAUUAUUCAAGUAUAUAUUAUCUAGGUACGUUCAUUGAAGUUUGUAAUAGUUUAACAUCACGAUAAUACUAGUUUAGCUUUGGAUUUACCUGGCGAUUCGUCUGGCGUAAUAAAGACAUUUAAUAACAAUUUGUACAUACAUGCAAUAGCGUUGAAGGGGAGAAAUGCUCUGAAACAUGUAAUUCUAUUGACAUUUUACAGGUACAUAAUGUAUUCUUGAUCGAUGUAUGUACCUCUCCACCUGAAAAAUUAUUUUAUUGGUAAUAAUUUUAUGAUCUUGGACCGUAAUUAGGAUAAGAUGUUAAUUUAUAAAAUAUUCUCUUAAAAUAUAUACUAUCUUAAAGUAUAUAAAUUGAUUUAUUAGGCUUAGUUUAUCUGAAUGGGUAUGAGUGAAAGUGUGGUUGAUAUAUAUGUGAUAAGGAAUUACUGUGAAGAUGUGAAUUUUAUUAAUAUUAUUGUUUUCUUUUUUGUAUGGAUAAUAAAUAUGAAAAGUUU